ACAGCGAACUCUUCCUUCUCGUUGGGAGUCUUCACCGUGAUUUUGAUGAUUCGCGGGUGGGCAGCAGCGAAGCCCUGAGCGGAGGAUUCAGAUGAGCUGUGGGCCUCCGCGGAGCUCUCCGCACUCUCCGACAUGGCAGCUCCCCCUUCUAGGUAACUCCCCCAGUUUAUAUACUGGGCACAACAUUCUAUGGAAUGGAAUGGAAUGGAAUGGAAUGGAAUGGAAUGGAAUGGAAUGGAAUGGAAUGGAAUGGAAUGGAAUGGAAUGGAAUAUCCCUUUGGCCACUUCAGAUCAGCUGUCUUGGCCAUGCUUCCUCACAGCUUCUUGUGUACUGGCAGAGCCUGAGAUUCUGAAAAGCUCUUGACUCAAGAAUUUAGCACCUCAUCUCAUCUUUGGUCUUGAAAUUCUGGUAUUGAGAAACCGCCAGACUAUUCAGCUGAGUCUUCACAGAAGUAUGGUGAAUGUCGUUUAUUUCUAUCUUUAGCACACUUUUAUAGGGUCCGACAGGGUCCGCGGGCUUAGCAAGAUACUAUUGGCUAAUACAUAUUGGUUUACAUUCUUUCCCCAGUACACAAGGCUAUUGUUUUUCUUUCAUUCUCGCUGCUUCAGGAGAGUUUCAAAAACACUACCUUUAAUAUCAUUGCUUAUACCAAAGGCUGGCAUGUGCAGACAGGCUUUUACUAAAAUAUCAUGCUUUUACUCUAUUAAAAUGUUUUACUACAAUUCCCCAUUUCUCUUUUUGCACAAGCCAGGCUUUAGACGUGAUUCGUUUUACACUUCUACAGAUACAAGAUAACAUACAGCUUAAAAUAACUAUCUCUAUUAAUACCAUAAGUAAUAUCCGUCCCCCCUCCAGCACAAGAGACUUCAACCAUCCAGUGAUGCCCCAGUUGACUAACCAACUUCCAAUGGGGUCACUAUCUUCUUUCAGGGCAUGUAACCCAUUCUGUAGCUGUCUUAGUUGUUUGUGGAUUGAAACUGAAUGAUCAGUAAGGUUUAAACAGCAUAUACCUUCAAACUCCUCACAAUUAUGUCCUUGUGCUAAGAGCAAGAAAUCAAUUGCAGCUUGAUUUUGCAAAAUGGCAUGAUGUACACUACUUACAUCAGUUGAAAGUUCACUUAACAUUGUUGAUGUUAAGUUCAGUUCUUUCCUGGUCUAACAAGCUAGCCUUUUUCGAGUUGACAAGCCUUUAGCAUCACCUACUCCUGGAGUAAAAAAGAGGAUGGCCAUAUUAUACCACGACCUCAAAAGUCUGGGUCUCUAACAUCAUCACAUUGUAAUUCAUUCAGGCUUCGCUUUGACCGUUUGAUGUUUUUUAUUUUACCAGCUAUAUUCAGCAAUUGGUGUAAGUUUGGAUGGAACAAAGUAAGUUUCCCAAGGUAACAGGGUCUUCCGUGUGGGCUAGCAGGAAUCUCAUUCCAUGCUCUAUCUCCACAGAUUAAGAAUAUUGCACUAGGUAAUUGCUUUGGUAAUUGUCCUGUGAGAUUGCACUGUGAAUAAAAAGCUUUACUUUCGGUGUUAGUAAUGAGAUCAACUAUAGGGUUAACUGUAGCUCAGUGUUGCAUCACUUUGUUGGAGUGGCUUUUUGAUGGGGUCUUAAACAUUAUUCAUCCACCUGAGGUAUUGGUGGAGCCUAACAAAUCUAAUUUUUCUGGGGGCCCUAUGGUAACAUUGAGAACUUCAAUAAUUUUUGUUUGCCAGCAGGCUUCAAGUUGUCUUGACGUGAAGCCAACAGUGAGAUUACACUCUUGUAACAUUGCCAAUUGAUUCAAUCGAAUUUCAUUGCUAACUAAACUUUUAAAUGUUUGAGGAUCCCAUUCAGGGACUCCUAUGAGACAGGUGCGAGAAGGAUCUCCAGGUGUGGCUAGGCUUAGACACACUGAUUUUUGGCCUAAGUGUGCCAGAGUGACCCAUAUGUUCUGUCGCUUUUGGAUGUUAGCUAGAAGACAGUUGGGACUAUACACAUUACAAUUACUACAAACAGUUUGUUCCAUUCAAAUGACACCAUGCUUUCAGAAUCACAGCUAGGUUUUAAGGUUAUAUGAACUUUCAAAUAUGCUCACUUUAACUCUUGAAGGGGGAAUACUUAUACUUUAUACUAAUAUAUUUUCUAAACUUAUCAAUAACCUACAAAUAACAAUUAUCACACAAGCUAAACUCUUUAUCUUAAACUAUUACCUAACUACUUUUAACACACGUGCUCUGGUAUUUAUGCAAUCUACGCAUGAAAGCAAUUUGCUUAAAGGGUAAAAUACAGUUGGAAUUUGCUUUUAUAUAUAGUUAGAUGGAGUCUCUAUACUCUUUUGAUCUUCUACAAAAUUCUUC